rnacentral:lncRNA from 1 species
UCGAGCAAAACAAACAAAAGAAGGAAACAAAACGAAACAAACUAACCAACACAAAACCUAAACCUUCCAACGUUUGCCUCAGGGAUUUCCAAUGCACAUGACAUGUUAAAGAUUGUUAUCCCCACAGAUUUGAGUCAUCUUUACACAAGCAUAUACUUAAUUAAAGCCACCACAUACUAGUUCACAUUUAACCAAUUAAAACAUGAUUUUGAAUGUAGUAACAUGCCUUAGAGAAUUUGCUCAAUUCCUUACUAGAUAUGCACUCAAUUUUCACACAGAUUUUCUGACUACACACCCUAUGCUAGUUAUAUGUGAGAAGAUUGAUGUGAAUAUGAAAACGAAUGCUCACAUAUAUGUAUAACAAGAAAAGCAUUUUCCAGAGUAAAUGACAUGUUUAGAUAUGAUCUCAUGAAAGGAAUGCUAUUACUUAGAUGCGAGAACCAGUGACACCAUAUGCUCAUACCAAAUUCAGACUCCACAAAUUGAAACACAUAACACUCAAGAUAGAAGUUACGGGUUGUAAUGGGGCUUGGGGUAUUGGCUAACAAGGAAAGGAUAGGGAAAACAAACGUUCUUCAAGCGAUAGUAAGCAAAGUAAUGAACUUGAGACUUAGAAUUCAUUUAGAUUGCAGAAAUUAACUUUAACACACAAGGGGAAGACUUAAACAACUCCUUAGGGUCAAAUUCAUUGUUUUGGACCCUUACUUCAACAAACAAUACUUUGGAACUCUUUUUCUCAACUUUUCAACUUUUUUUUUUUUUCUUCAUAUUUUUUUCUUUUUCUUUUCUUUUCUUUGCCGUGCCUAUGGCACACAAUUCCUCAUGAAAAAUACUUCCCCCACACUUGUUUUCUGCUAACAUAGAUCAAAAGGAAUUCAAUUUGAAUCAUGCUUACUAUGCUUUAAGAACAAGGGUUUGGAUGGUCCUAAACUAGGCUAGGUGAGGAAAACAUGGGUUAACAAAUAACGAAGGCUAACAAGGCUCAAUGGGGUUAAAACCUACAAAUCACAAUGACAUAGGGUACACGGCUUUUUGGCUAAGGUGGUGGUCACUACACAACUUCAUCUUGAAUA